rnacentral:lncRNA from 1 species
GGAAUUUGCAAGGAGUUCCAUAUAGUCAUUGCUUUUGAGGCUGGCAUGCUGAGCUUCCUAUUGUGGGGUUUUAUGUAAAUCUGGGAAAUCUAGUGCUGGAUGUGGCCUGUUUCAAUCUCAUGAAUCUGAAAUCUCCAGUUGAACCUAAAAUUGAUUGAUUGUUGCAGCUAGUCAAAUGUUGAACUGUGUGUGUGGAAAAGGAAGAGGCUGAAUAGACCUCUAGGAUACUGGUGUGAUGCCUUCUUUGUCUCAUGAUACCCGAUGUAAUUUCGAUGACCCUCCCAGAUGUAUUACUGGAUUGUCUGGAAAAUUUGUUCCCUAAAGAUGGUGUGCCUGAGGAAAGGGGCUUCAACCCAGAGCUUACUUCACACUGUUCUUGGUGUUUGGCCAAAGUCACCAGGAUCCAAGAUGGUAACAUCUACGUUUCAGGGCCUAGAAGAGACAAAGGAACAAAGCAAUAGAGAGAAAACUGUGAGUGCUCAUUAGUUCUUAAGAACAAUGGAAACUGAUGCAUGCUAUGGCUCUUUCAUUCUACUGUCCACUGUUUUGUCACACGACCAAGUCUAACUGCAAAAGGGUUUGGCAGUCAUGUUCUCAAUCAAAUGCUAACAUUAUAUAUAGAGGUCUAAAGCGAUAGAGUAGGAAGUCCAGCAGUCUCUGUGAUCAACACCAUAAAUUAGUUGAAAAAGCAAGAUAAACAGUUUUAACUCUAGGGGAAAAGUAAUGAAUUAAUUUUUAAGUGAUCAUUAACAAACAGAAUUUUUAAAUACAUAAUUUUAUACAUUUUACUACACAAACAACCAAAGGGAGUUUUUCCUUAUAUCCACACUUACC